rnacentral:tRNA from 1 species
GGGUUCUGCGGUCCAAUCAUAGGGACUCAUAAUCCUUUGGUCCAGGGUUCAAGUCCCUGCGGGCCCACCA